CAUUUAUUUGGUCCUCCGAGCCGGAUUAGGACAUUGAAUUUUAACUAAUUUUGUGCUCCAACAGAGUGACCUCGUCGUCUCCUGGAAUCGUGAACCCGCGCUGAAAGUCUGUCCGGACAGCCUGUUUCUAGUGAAACAGUAAAGACCAACUACGUGAAUUCGCCGUUGGCCAGCGUUUUUAGCAAGAGGUCCACGAUCCCAGGGAGCGAGGAGGAUUCUCUCUGACCGGCAUUUUCGUCCGAACCAGAGCAGGAGCUACAUGAGGACACAUCAGAGGGAGGGAAACAGCUAUUAAAGCUCGAACAUGCAGCUGUCUGUGAACCCAGUUUUCACCCUCACACCCCUGAUCUGUUUUUAACAGCAGCUUUUUGCAUCCUGUCUCAUGUGUGUAAAGCGUUCAUGCCAUCAGCAACUUGUUUUUGUUUUUUGUUUGUUUCUUGAUGUUGCUUGAGUGAGGAAUGCUGUGACUUCUGAAACAGCUCUCUUCAUGCAACUUCAUGCUUGAUGAUGAUAAUUUCAGAGCCAGCUGAGAGCUGGGUUGAGAGCGAUGCUUUGUUUUAAGUGACAAAGCAGAAAAGUUAAACUUAGUUUGUUUUUGUUUGUUUGUUUGUUUGUUUUUCAAUACGAGACAAUGGUAAUGGAUAAGAAGUGAUAUUUUGUUUAAGUGUUGAAGAAAGCUAAAUACUGCAACAUACGUCUAGUGCAUGAUCUGCGAGCAAUGAAUGGAUCAUCUUAUUUAUCUUUAAAUAAACUCCGAUUAUGGAGACCUGAGUCACAUACUUAGGGCACACCCUUAGGUGAAGGCAGAAAGCUACUAAACAAAGAAAAGAAGCUAUAUACAAUGCGCGAUAGCCACAAGAUUAAGCAUUCACAUUCUUUCUGACUCUUAAUGAGCCUGAGUUAUGACCUUGGCUCCCUAUUUUUCUGCCUCCACCAGAGAUGGGAGUGAAGCUCCCGUGGAAUGUGCUCUGUUCUCCUUACUGCAUCUAUAAAAAUAGCAUUCAGUAACUUGGAUAUAACCUUUCUACUUACAUUUAGGUGGAAGUGCAGACUAGAUGAAAACAGUUAAAUUCAACAAAGAGUUCGAUUACUCUGGAGAAACGGGAAAUGUGUCUGUAACAGGAAAACGUGUAACAGGAACUACAUGCCCAUACAAAGGAGCUGACUGUGUCAAGGACGCAGACAGACAGAGAGACACAGAGACAGCCAAUAUGUUUACUCUAACUGUUUUAAUAGUUUUGCAAUUUUCAUUAGUUUUAUUUUUCUUUAGUUUUGACUUAAGAUUUUAAAACUAAACACAUUUUUGCUACAAAAUCAGUUAAUUUUGUGA